rnacentral:rRNA from 1 species
GACGAACGCUGGCGGCGUGCUUAACACAUGCAAGUCGAACGGAAAGGCCCUGCUUGCAGGGUACUCGAGUGGCGAACGGGUGAGUAACACGUGGGUGAUCUGCCCUGCACUUCGGGAUAAGCCUGGGAAACUGGGUCUAAUACCGGAUAGGAGCCAUUUUUAGUGUGAUGGUUGGAAAGUUUUUUCGGUGUAGGAUGAGCUCGCGGCCUAUCAGCUUGUUGGUGGGGUAAUGGCCUACCAAGGCGGCGACGGGUAGCCGGCCUGAGAGGGUGGACGGCCACAUUGGGACUGAGAUACGGCCCAGACUCCUACGGGAGGCAGCAGUGGGGAAUAUUGCACAGUGGGCGCAAGCCUGAUGCAGCGACGCCGCGUGGGGGAUGACGGCCUUCGGGUUGGAAACUCCUUUCGCUAGGGACGAAGCUUUUUGUGACGGUACCUAGAUAAGAAGCACCGGCUAACUACGUG